rnacentral:rRNA from 1 species
CUUUCUUUGCUGGCGACCGGCGCACGGGUGAGUAACACGUAUCCAACCUGCUCUUUACUCGGGGAUAGCCUUUCGAAAGAAAGAUUAAUACCCGAUAGUAUAAUGAUUCCGCAUGGUUUCAUUAUUAAAGGAUUCCGGUAAAGGAUGGGGAUGCGUUCCAUUAGGUUGUUGGUGAGGUAACGGCUCACCAAGCCUUCGAUGGAUAGGGGUUCUGAGAGGAAGGUCCCCCACAUUGGAACUGAGACACGGUCCAA